GGUAAAUGUGACCAAUUAGAAAAAGCCACGUCAGAUGAUACUGGUAUCACAAAUAUCAUUGGACUAAUACUAAUCAACCUCAUUCUAAU
rnacentral:sRNA from 1 species